AGCAGCCGCGGUAAUUCCAGCUCCAAUAGCGUAUAUUAAAGUUGUUGCAGUUAAAAAGCUCGUAGUUGAAUUUCGAGACCGGUUUAUUGGUCGUGCUUUUGUACGUACUGGUAUUAUUGGUUUCUCCUUUCUGACGAAUCUUAAUGCCAUUAAUUUGGUGUUUUGGGGAAUCAGGACUGUUACUUUGAAAAAUUAGAGUAGUUUAAAGCAGGCUCACGCUUGAAUACAUUAGCAUGGAAUAACGGAAUAGGACGUUUGAUUCUAUUUGUUGGUUUCUAGGAUCGACGUAAUGAUUAAUAGGGAUAGUUGGGGGCAUUAGUAUUCAAUUGUCAGAGGUGAAAUUCUUGGAUUUAUUGAAGACUAACUACUGCGAAAGCAUUUGCCAAGGAUGUUUUCAUUAAUCAAGAACGAAAGUUAGGGGAUCGAAGACGAUC
rnacentral:rRNA from 1 species